CUCAGGGCGCGGCUCCGGCCCCGCGCAGCGCUCACCCACAGCCGGCGUCCCGGGCACGGCUCGUCCCCGGCCGCAGCCAGGACGUGCAGCCGCCAAGGACGAGGGAGAGAUGUCACCCAGAUUUAAGUCCUUGUCUACAGUUUGCAGAGGUCUUGAGCAAGCUGCAGCAAUGCCAUGUACAGCUGUACCCAGCCCACUUCCAGACCUACCAUGAGCAUGUUUGCAGCAGAGGGCUGGAAGGAGUCCUGACAUGA
rnacentral:lncRNA from 1 species